rnacentral:lncRNA from 1 species
UGUAGUUGAUUCUGGAAGUCUGUUUUUGAGGCUUGUUUAUGUGUCUUCUCAUUUCCAUGGGGGAGGGGGAUACUUCUGGUGCCCACGCAGCUCACCUUCUCUUCCCUAGGAGCUUGGGAUGUCAGCGGGGGAGCUUCCUUCCAGGUGUUGGGACCAGCUGAGCAUCACUGCCCUAGGAGCCUGGGAUGGAGGUGGGGAACUUCCUUCUGGGUGCUGGGACCAGCUCACCUUCUUGGCCCUAGGAGCCUGGGAUGGCACUGGGGGAGCUUCCUUCCGGGUGUUGAGACCGGCUGAGCUUCAGUGCCCUAGGAACCUGGGAUGGCAGCGGGGGAGCUUCCUUCCGGGUGCCGUAAUAAAGUCAUCGUGCGAUGGAUGUGUCCCUAGAUUAUAACAAAAAAGUUUUACUUGGAAAGAGACAAGUGAAAAUGAAAAAGGGUCAUGAGAUCAGAAUCUGACAGGUGACAGUGAGCCUGUUGAGAGUGGGCACGCUGCAGGGACACCCUGCUAAUAUGCAAAGGACAGCAUUCCCUACAACACCACCAUCGGUGGUUUGGAACCUCAGAAAAGGACACACUGAUAAAUCACACUUGAGACUUGUCUUUACCAAUUUAAAACAGAAACUGAAAAUGAAUUAAGAAUCUUUACAGGAUUCCACUCCUCACUCAUGUUUCUUCUGCUUGGACUCAGUGAAAGAUGUCAUCCAGCUGAUGCAAAUGUACUGAGAGUUCAAAUAACAGAGUUGUUACUACUUGCCCCAAGGGAUCCUAAUUUCUAACCCAAUUUAGAGUGGUUGAGUAAAUUCAAAAUUGUUUUGUAUACCUACUCAUCCUGUUGAUCUUCUGGAAAUGAG